rnacentral:lncRNA from 1 species
CAAAGCCCCCCGGUACAUAGCUGUGUAUUCUUCGUUGUGGGUUCCUCUAGUUGUGGCAUGUGGGACGCCGCCCCAGCGUGGCCCGACGAGCAGUGCCAUGUCCGCGCCCAGGAUUCGAACCGACGAAACACUGGGCCGCCUGCAGCGGAGCGCACGAACUUAACCACUCGGCCACGGGGCCAGCCCCCAUGACCUUGACACUUUUGAAGAGUACUGGUGUGGUACAAGACGUUGACAGGUCUUAUUACUGCCGAUGUUGACCUUGCUCACUUGGUUAAGAUAAAAAUUGCAAUAUGAAAAGAUAAUUCUUCCCGACUGUCAGAACCCAUUAGAAUUUCUACGGCCUGAUGCUCUUUAAGAACAAGAAGGACAAUUAAGAAAACAACACCACCACCUGGUUCCCAUUUAAAAAAGAAAAAUCGGACUGGAGAUUUGCAAUGCUGACCUCCUGAGACGGAAAGGUGAAUAAGAGUCAAAGAAAAAGAGAGAAAGACAGAAAAAGUGAGUGAGAGAGAGAACAGAAAAAGAGCAAGAUUUUAUUAAUUGUGGCAUUACCAUGUGUAAGCCGGAGCAUAGACCAUUGAUGCAGAUGCCUGACUUGCUGAUCCAGCCUGUGUGUCAGUACUGAGACCAACUUCAUCUUUCUGAAAUCACUCCGGGGUCAUGUCCAGCUCUUAGUAUUCUUUUUCUGAUGUGGAGGCAGAUGCCAAGAAGUUCUGAAUUAACAAGAAAAUCGUGACUAAAGGAUGGGGAGCAGAACCAGUAAAGUUUACAAAUGGAUAUUCUUAGACCCAGAAGAAAGAAAGGAGAAAAAAAACCCUUUAAUAUCUCCAGUGAUGAAUCCUUCUGAUAUAAUUAAUCUGUCAUAGUUUAACUGUUCUGGCAAAACUACUCUGCACAUGUUAACAUUUUCCUCUGUGUGAUUUAAGGCACUAGUUAUAUACAUUUAAUUUGCAUAAGUGAAUGUAUUCAUAUAACUGUUUAUGGAAUGAUAGAUUAAUAUUCAAAUACGUUCUUUUUGAAGUUUCUUUGGUAUUCUUAAGAUAUAAAAUUUUGACAUGUUAAAAUAUAAAAGAUGAUUUUAUGCUUUGUUGAAACUAUUGGAAUGAAAUAAAAAAGCAAUAACAAGUCAUAGUUCUUGGCUUAUAAUGAAGAAAGUAAAGCUGGUUUUGAAUAAUUUACAUUUUUACAUAAAAGUCAAAUGUUGUAAUAAUUAUAUUUGUUUCUUUUGUGAAAAAUGCAACUAAAUGAAUAUCCUCAUUCAAUUAGAACCCAUCAAACACGUGAACUAAACUUGAUGGCCUAUUACUUGGUGUUCAAGUUUGUGGAAUGCCUGAAGUUUGUCCUUGUGUAAACCAGCUAUUAAAUGCAAAUUUAGGUCAGAUUUAUGAGAAUACGUAUUUCC